rnacentral:rRNA from 1 species
AUGCAAGUCGAGCGGAUGAGAGGAGCUUGCUCCUCGAUUCAGCGGCGGACGGGUGAGUAAUGCCUAGGAAUCUGCCCAGUAGUGGGGGACAACGUUUCGAAAGGAACGCUAAUACCGCAUACGUCCUACGGGAGAAAGUGGGGGAUCUUCGGACCUCACGCUAUUGGAUGAGCCUAGGUCGGAUUAGCUAGUUGGURGGGUAAAGGCCUACCAAGGCGACGAUCCGUAACUGGUCUGAGAGGAUGAUCAGUCACACUGGAACUGAGACACGGUCCAGACUCCUACGGGAGGCAGCAGUGGGGAAUAUUGGACAAUGGGCGAAAGCCUGAUCCAGCCAUGCCGCGUGUGUGAAGAAGGCCCUCGGGUCGUAAAGCACUUUAAGUUGGGAGGAAGGGCUUACAGCGAAUACCUGUGAGUUUUGACGUUACCAACAGAAUAAGCACCGGCUAACUUCGUGCCAGCAGCCGCGGUAAUACGAAGGGUGCAAGCGUUAAUCGGAAUUACUGGGCGUAAAGCGCGCGUAGGUGGCUUGAUAAGUUGGAUGUGAAAUCCCCGGGCUCAACCUGGGAACUGCAUCCAAAACUGUCUGGCUAGAGUGCGGUAGAGGGUAGUGGAAUUUCCAGUGUAGCGGUGAAAUGCGUAGAUAUUGGAAGGAACACCAGUGGCGAAGGCGACUACCUGGACUGAC